rnacentral:rRNA from 1 species
UGACCAGACUCCUACGGGAGGCAGCAGUGGGGAAUAUUGGGCAAUGGGCGCAAGCCUGACCCAGCAACGCCGCGUGAAGGAAGAAGGCUUUCGGGUUGUAAACUUCUUUUGUCAGGGACGAAGCAAGUGACGGUACCUGACGAAUAAGCCACGGCUAACUACGUGCCAGCAGCCGCGGUAAUACGUAGGUGGCAAGCGUUAUCCGGAUUUACUGGGUGUAAAGGGAGCGCAGACGGCAGUGCAAGUCUGGAGUGAAAGCCCGGGGCCCAACCCCGGGACUGCUCUGGAAACUGUACGGCUGGAGUACGGGAGGGGCAGGCGGAAUUCCUAGUGUAGCGGUGAAAUGCGUAGAUAUUAGGAGGAACACCAGUGGCGAAGGCGGUCUGCUGGACAGCAACUGACGGUGAGGCGCGAAAGCGUGGGGAGCAAACAGGAUUAGAUACCCCGGUA